GAUGAACGCUGGCGGCGUGCCUAAUACAUGCAAGUCGAGCGAACAGACGAGGAGCUUGCUCCUCUGACGUUAGCGGCGGACGGGUGAGUAACACGUGGAUAACCUACCUAUAAGACUGGGAUAACUUCGGGAAACCGGAGCUAAUACCGGAUAAUAUAUUGAACCGCAUGGUUCAAUAGUGAAAGACGGUUUUGCUGUCACUUAUAGAUGGAUCCGCGCCGCAUUAGCUAGUUGGUAAGGUAACGGCUUACCAAGGCAACGAUGCGUAGCCGACCUGAGAGGGUGAUCGGCCACACUGGAAGUGAGACACGGUCCAGACUCCUACGGGAGGCAGCAGUAGGGAAUCUUCCGCAAUGGGCGAAAGCUUGACGGAGCAACGCCGCGUGAGUGAUGAAGGUCUUCGGAUCGUAAAACUCUGUUAUUAGGGAAGAACAAAUGUGUAAGUAACUAUGCACGUCUUGACGGUACCUAAUCAGAAAGCCACGGCUAACUACGUG
rnacentral:rRNA from 1 species